UUCUGACCAAAAUCUCAUUCAGGGCCAUUUCAAGAUGUUCUGGGUUCCCCUUGUGAGCCUCCUGUUUGUGAUGUGCUCCACAGGCACAAAUUCUCAGCUGACAGUGACUCAACCACCGUCGGCCUCGGUAUCACUUGGGAACACCGUGAAACUCUCCUGUACCAUCAGUAUGACUGGCAGAGCUAUAUCCUGGUACCAGCAGAAGCCUGGGAGUGCCCCCCGAUACCUGUUAUAUUAUUUCUCAGAGUCCUACAAACAUCAGGGCUCCGGGGUCCCCUCUCGCUUUUCUGGUUCCAAAGAUUCAUCAGAUAAAAUCGGCUACUUGAGCAUCUCUGGGGCCAUGGCAGAAGACGAGGCUGUCUAUUACUGUGCUGCUUAUGACAGCAGUGUGUCUCACCGUGUGACAGUCGAAUGGGGAAAUCUAAAUACUCAGAUCACAGCGCGUCCAUCUCUGGACCACAUGACACUCUCCAAGUGCUUUGAACCCGGAUGA